GACGAACGCUGGCGGCGUGCUUAACACAUGCAAGUCGAACGGAGUGGCGAACGGGUGAGUAACACGUGGGUGAUCUGCCUUGCACUUCGGGAUAAGCUUGGGCAACUGGGUCUAAUACCGGAUAGUGCAAGAUGUGCUCGCGGCCUAUCAGCUUGUUGGUGGGGUAAUGGCCUACCAAGGCGUCGACGGGUAGCCGGCCUGGGAGGGGGUACGGCCACAUGGGGGCUAAGAUACGGCCCAGACGCCUACUGGGGACAGCAGGGGGGAAUAUUGCACAGUGGGCGGAAGCCUGAUGCAGCGACGCCGCGUGGGGGAUGAAGGCUUUCGGGUUGUAAACUCCUUUCGACAGGGACGCGGUACCUGUAUAAGAAGCACCGGCUAACUACGUGCCAGCAGCCGCGGUAAUAC
rnacentral:rRNA from 1 species